rnacentral:rRNA from 1 species
GACUCUCGGCAACGGAUAUCUCGGCUCAUGCAUCGAUGAAGAACGUAGCAAAAUGCGAUACUUGGUGUGAAUUGCAGAAUCCCGUGAACCAUCGAGUUUUUGAACGCAAGUUGCGCCCAAAGCCUUUUGGCCGAGGGCACGUCUGCCUGGGCGUCACAC